GUCCUCAACAUCGUGUGGCACAUGUUCGUGGGUGAGCGGUUCCCGAUGGCGACAAAAACCUCCGCUGGAUCGUCGAUUCGCUCGAGAUGUCUCUCACGCUGGUCGAACAAGGCGGCUUCUUGAACUACACGCCGAUGAUCCAAUUUAUCGGCACAUUCCUGAAGCCGAAAGCCUUCAAGGUCGGUUUACAACGUGAAACAUCGCCUUGAGUAUUUCGAAAAGCUGAUCCAGGAACACAAAGCCAACCUGGACAACCCCGACCGCAACUUCGACCUCAUGUACAGUACUUAUUGGAACAACGACGCCAGAUCGAGCAGGGAAAUGCCGAGACUAUCUUCACUGGUAAGAGAGCGAACACGAAGGCAAAUGGGGUAUUGCAGUUUUCUAAUGUACCUAGGAUUAAUCCAUUUUCUUUCAUUUGUAUAUAUCAUCCCUUGUAGAGAAAUUGUUCUUUUAACUUCUGUUUGCCGAAAAUACGCAUUAUAAGAUCUUUCA